AAAAUACAAAAGAGUUGAUGUCCACUUUAUAAACACAAAGACUUCUCUUCGUCUUCCAUUGACAUCUCUUCGUCUUCUUCUUCUCCUAUGCAUUUGCGAUAAAAAUCAAAGAUAAAAUCCAACAAAGUAAAAACUGACUAAAGCAGUUUCAACGUUCAAAACAAAAGUUACAGAAAUUGCUUGAUGGACCAAGAAACAAAAGUGAGUUCUGAGGUUCCUGUAGUUAAAGGUGCACCUGAAGAUCUAAACACGGUCGAUGUUUCUGCUAAGGAGGUGAACAAAGAAAUGACAAAGGAAGAUAAAGCUAUGCAGCAAGAAGAAGAGGAUACUGCAAUUUGAUGGUGGAUUCAUAAAAGUUGAGA